rnacentral:tRNA from 1 species
GCCACCGUAGCUCAGCCUGGUAGAGCAUCCGCCUUGUAAGCGGAAGGUCGUGGGUUCGGAUCCCUCCGGUGGCU